UUAUGACCAUACCACGUUGAAACACCAGUUCCCAUAUGAUGACCGAAGUUAAGCGACAUCGAACCUGGUCAGUACCUAGGUGGGUGACUGUUUGGAAAUAUCAGGUUCUGUAAG